UAGGGAAUCUUCCGCAAUGGACGAAAGUCUGACGGAGCAACGCCGCGUGAGUGAAGAAGGAUUUCGGUUCGUAAAACUCUGUUGUUAGGGAAGAAAAAAUGUAUAGUAACUAUAUACAAAAGAGACGGUACCUAACCAGAAAGCCACGGCUAACUACGUGCCAGCAGCCGCGGUAAUACGUAGGUGGCAAGCGUUGUCCGGAAUUAUUGGGCGUAAAGCGCGCGCAGGUGGUUUAGAAAGUCUGAUGUGAAAGCCCACGGCUCAACCGUGGAGGGUCAUUGGAAACUAAUAAACUUGAGUGCAGGAGAGAGAAGUGGAAUUCCUAGUGUAGCGGUGAAAUGCGUAGAGAUUAGGAGGAACACCGGUGGCGAAAGCGGCUUUUUGGCCUGCAACUGACACUGAGGCGCGAAAGCGUGGGGAGCAAACAGG
rnacentral:rRNA from 1 species